rnacentral:rRNA from 1 species
UACGAAGGGGGCUAGCGUUGUUCGGAAUCACUGGGCGUAAAGGGCGCGUAGGCGGCCGAUCAAGUCGGGGGGUGAAAGCCUGUGGCUCAACCACAGAAUGGCCUCGAUACUGUUUGGCUUGAGACCGGAAGAGGUCAGUGGAACUGGCGAGUGUAGAGGUGAAAUUCGUAGAUAUUCGCAAGAACACCAGUGGCGAAGGCGGCUGACUG